AAAAAACAAGCAAGAUAACUAUGUUUCUGUGUCUGUGAGGUAGGUACUUGACGUGUGCCCUCUGCCAGGCAUGGUGGUGAGUCCAUCUGAGGGCGUAGUACCAAGUGGAGGCCAGACUUCCUUAAUAGUCCGCUACAUACCUGAGUCUGUCAUUAAGUUUGACACCAGAGUCAAGGUAAAGAUUGAAAACUUUGAAUUUUGUUUGAAUUUCAAGUUUUGUUUAGGACAGAAAGAAAGUGAGGGUUUAUUAACAAUAUGCAUGUGUAUAUAUUACAGAUAGCCUUGAGAAACAUGAAGUCAAUUGAACUUAGAAUGUGUGGAUCAGUGGAGCGUCCACGUGUAGACAUCAGUCUGGUAAGUUUCAGAAAAAGCAGAAAAAAGUUAUGGCUAAAAAUAUCCUUUUUGGUUUGUUUGUUGUUGUCAGUUUUUUAAAUCACAAAAUUACUACUUUCAUGUAAAUGUUUCUUAAUCAUUAAUUGUCUUAAUUUUGUUGGAUUAGGUUCAUACCAAUUGUAUCCAAUUGUAAUGAAUUCUACCAAUUUCACCUGUUCUGAAUCUAAUGUUGUUUACAUGUGUGCUAAAUUACCUCAUUCAUUAAUUUAAAUUGCUUUAAAUUGUUUUGAUGUCUUUUUUCCCAACUUUAAGUCCCAUUUUCAGUUUUAUGGGGUAUUUGCUGGUUCUCAGAGGGUGAUACCUUUCACUCUUACCAACCGCUCACCUUCUGAAGCCCAGAUUACCUUCAACAUGUCUGACUAUCCAGAUUUCUGUUUCCAGUUUCCUAGGAACUCAGCAAGUAUGCAUUCUCUCACACCCACUUUUAUUGCUGUGAGCAAUAUAAGUUAGUCAAAGGAAAUGUUUAUUCAUAUGGGAAACAGUUCUGUGAAAUUCUGUUAGAGAAAGAGUAAUUGUGUGUUUUUGUUUCUUGCAGCGGAGCCAGGUGUGACCAAUGUAGAAAUGCAGGGCUACCAAACGGUGACCUGCUCUCUUAUAUUCUCCCCCACCCAGGAAGCUACUUAUGACUUUGACGUGCCUAUGAUGGUCAAUGGGUUAAGGUGGUCCACUUGUCAGUCUCCUUCGCCCUCUAUGUCCUCCUCAUCCACCUCAUCCCAGGUGUCACGGGGCAACACAAAGCAAUCGGUCAAACAUCUUUUUCACUCCAUGGCAGCACAGCAGUCACUACGCAUACAGGCCACAGGUCAUUAAUCAUACUGAACUGGAGUUGUGCUUCUGUUAAAUACUAAUUCUUUAUUUUAUGUUGAGGUUUUGUUUUGCAAGUAUGUGUACAGAACUCUAUUAUAUAUGGUUCUGAAUUAAUGCAUAAAAGUGUACUGUGUAUUUUUUUUUUAUGUUUCAGCACUGUGUGCUCCAGUGGAACUAUCCCCUUCUAGCCUACAGUUCGAUGUGGAAUCUUCACAGUCUAACAUUUACACUAAGGUAUCAUCAAAAUACCUGAAACUUAAUAUAUUCAAUCCCUGCUUUUCUGUAUUAUUAUUAUUUUUUUUUGAUUUGAUGAUUUUCUUUCUCCUUGUGGAACCAUUGUCCUUGUGGAACCAUGUUUUGGUAUUGCGAACCUUCUUCGCAAUACAAUAUAUUGAUUUACCAAUGUUUUAAAUCAUUAAAAUCCAUCUCAGUCUUUUUAUUUAACUUUUAUUCUGUUUUUCUCAACAGACACUGGAGUUGAAAGCAGUGUUUAAGGAGAGUAUAUACUUGUAUGGUGUCAUUAGUAAGUAUGUACACUGGUGGUUUGACUGCAGUGUACUAGCAACACAAAUACAAGACAGUGGAGAGGAGGAUCUGUGUACUGUGUCUCCAUCAUCUGGCAGUCUGAGACCCGACCAGUCCAUCUCCUUGACUGUCAGCAUCAGGCCCGAAUCUGUGAGAACUGGUAAGUAACACCAGCAAUUAAGUGCAAAUAAACUUAUGAUAUCUUUACCCA
ensembl:lncRNA